GGCAGGCCUAAUACAUGCAAGUCGAACGGUAGACAGUAGCAAUAUUGUUGAGAGUGGCGCACGGGUGCGUAACGCGUAUGCAACCUACCUCCCUGCGGGGGAUAGCCUGGAGAAAUUCAGAUUAAUACCGCAUAACAUUAUGAUACGGCAUCGUAUUAUAAUUAAAGGAUUUAUUCACAGGGAGAUGGGCAUGCGUGCCAUUAGUUAGAUGGAGAGGUAACGGCUCCCCAUGACUACGAUGGCUAACUGGUCUGAGAGGAUGAUCAGUCACACUGGCACUGAGACACGGGCCAGACUCCUACGGGAGGCAGCAGUAGGGAAUAUUGGUCAAUGGACGCAAGUCUGAGCCAGCCAUGCCGCGUGCAGGAAGAAGGUCCUCUGGAUUGUAAACUGCUUUUGUCCGGGAAUAAAUCUAUCUUAAUAGGUAGUUGAAGGUACCGGAAGAAUAAGCACCGGCUAACUCCGUGCCAGCAGCCGCGGUAAUACGGAGGGUGCAAGCGUUGUCCGGAUUUAUUGGGUUUAAAGGGUGCGUAGGCGGCCUUUUUAANNCAGUGGUGAAAGACGGUGGCUCAACCAUCGCAGNGCCAUUGAUACUGAAAGGCUUUGANUACAGUUGAGGU
rnacentral:rRNA from 1 species